rnacentral:lncRNA from 1 species
CUUAACACUCCCAGGCACUACCAAAGUUGAUUUCCAGCUUUCCUACUCAAGGGAAAAAAAAGCAGUUACAUCAUUACCAUCUAUUCUUAAAUAUUGCAGUUAUGUAUCCUUCAGUCCACAAAAUAUACCAUAUGUUUUUGGUCACGUUCUAGAAGUACAAAUUUUAAGAGUUUAAGGCUUCCAUUUUCAAAACAAAGACUGAAAAAGAAAAGAAGGAAUGCCUGAGGUGCUGCUUUAAUUCUGAAAACCUACAGAAGAAUGAAGCUUUUACAAUGACAGGCUAUGUAACUAUGCUUUUACAAGUAACAGGAUCUAGAGGUGUGCUUUUCAUCGUAUAUAUUGCAUUCUACACAUGAACAUGAAGACAUUUGCUGAAAAAGAGUAAUUUACUAGAAAAAAGACCAUGAGAGCUCCAAGGAAUUAAUGUGAAGGUAUGACAGCAUAAAUAGCAAAAACUACUUUCUGAACUUACGUACUCUUUAAUGACAAGUUGGACUAUGUGCUUUCUGUAUAGGGCAGAACUUCAAGGAUUUUUCAAAGCAGGAUUAAUUUCAGCAUGCAACAAAGGACUCAUAAGUAAAGGAGGUUACAUGACUCAGAAAAUGUCACAUUGCUGCUUAGUAGCAAAGACAGAAGUAAAAUCCAGCUCUUCAAAACUUCAAGCUCCUUGUCAAAAUAAUCAUUUAUCCCCCACUAAGAGGAAAAGAAUAAGAAUAGAAAAAAAGGAAGAAUAAAAUAAACAAACAAAAAAAUCAAGCAUUAAAAAUCUAGGCAGUAACAAAAGCCUUGACUGAAGACACGACUUCAUUCAGCACUUUUGAUUUACAACACAAAAUUUGUCCCAUAUCUGUAAAUAAAGACAUGUAUU